rnacentral:rRNA from 1 species
UACGUAGGGACCGAGCGUUGUCCGGAAUCAUUGGGCGUAAAGAGCGUGUAGGCGGCCUUUUAAGUCCUGCGUGAAAUCCUGCGGCUCAACCGCAGACGGUCGUGGGAAACUGGAAGGCUAGAGUGCGGGAGAGGAGAGUGGAAUUCCCGGUGUAGCGGUGAAAUGCGCAGAUAUCGGGAAGAACACCCGUGGCGAAGGCGGCUCUCUGGAACGCAACUGGACGCUGAGACGCGAAAGCGUGGGGAGCAAACAGG